AGGGAAUAUUGCGCAAUGGACGGAAGUCUGACGCAGCGACGCCGCGUGAGCGAUGAAGGUCUUCGGAUCGUAAAGCUCUGUCCUUGGGGAAGAAGGCGAAAGCUUGACGGUACCCAAGAAGAAAGCCCCGGCUAACUACGUGCCAGCAGCCGCGGUAAUACGUAGGGGGCGAGCGUUGUCCGGAAUUACUGGGCGUAAAGGGUGCGUAGGCGGCCCUUUAAGUCGGAUGUGAAAGCCCGCGGCUUAACCGCGGAAUGGCAUUCGAAACUGGAGGGCUUGAGUGUCGGAGAGGGUAGUGGAAUUCCCAGUGUAGCGGUGAAAUGCGUAGAUAUUGGGAGGAACACCAGUGGCGAAGGCGACUACCUGGACGAUAACUGACGCUGAGGCACGAAAGCUAGGGGAGCAAACAGGA
rnacentral:rRNA from 1 species